rfam:Hordeum vulgare subsp. vulgare, WGS project CAJW01000000 data, contig: morex_contig_1558760
AUUGUAUUCCCUCCGUUCAAAAAUUGUUGUCUUCGGUUUGUCUAGAAAAUGAAUGUAUCUAAAUACUAAAACUUGACUAGAUACAUUCGUAUGUAAACGAAUUUAAGACAAGAAUUUUAAGACGGAGGGAGCAUGAA